GACUCUCGGCAACGGAUAUCUCGGCUCUCGCAUCGAUGAAGAACGUAGCGAAAUGCGAUACUUGGUGUGAAUUGCAGAAUCCCGUGAACCAUCGAGUCUUUGAACGCAAGUUGCGCCCGAGGCCACCCGGCCGAGGGCACGUCUGCCUGGGCGUCA
rnacentral:rRNA from 5 species